rnacentral:lncRNA from 1 species
GCAGCUUUCCCACCCCAGAGCUGGGUGUGGCCGACAGGCAGGUUGUUCAUGAGCUCGCCGCCUGGGACAUUUGAGAAGGAACUGCAGGAUGUGAUGGAGUCCUUGAGAGGCCCUUGCAUCUGUGGCCCCGCUCAAUCCCUGCAGCUCGUGCCUUUCCUCAGCCCUCUCCCUCUCCAGCACAGCCUCUCAGGUCCCUGCGGGAAUAGAGCUGAUGUUCAUGAGGGGCGCUGGCCCCACUGCAGGGACAGGUGACGUAAGGGUCACACUGGCGUCAUCCCCUAGACAGCCAAGGAUCCAGAUUCCACCACACCUGCUGUAAGGGACUGGCCUCACCACUGCCUUGCUCUCAGCUCCUGUCACCCCUGUGUGCAGCACACUGGGGAUGCAGGGAGGACAGAAACCUCAGACACAGCGCGGUCGCCAGGUUCCAAGGCCUGGAGAGUUCCUACAACAACCUGCCCGCUGCGCAGUUACUCCAUUCCCUUCCCCUGGGCCCGCUGUGAGGCCCUGUCUUUCCAUGUCCUUUUGUUCCUGUGGAGAGAGCCGCCCUCUCUGUGUCCUGGGCCCGGCACCCCCUGUGGAGCCUUCUGAUGGGACAAGGGACCAUGGUUAGGAGGGGGGAGUGCUAGAUGGGGCCUCCUCUGUCACUGCAGCCCUCGGGCUCGGGUGGGUGACUGUUCUGUUUAGGGCCAGUCCUGUCUGGGCACUGCCAACCAAGCAUCCCCAGGGACACAGAAGGUGAGGUCUCCUGCAUGCACACGAUGUCUCCCUCUGGGCCUGCAUCACUCAGUGGUGCCACCCACAGGCGGGGACGUCAGAAAUGGGUGCUGUGGGAGAGCACAGCAAAGGGAGAAGCGCAGCUGUGUGUCCUGAAGGCUCUUCUCCUUUCAGCUGCCCCCAGGUAGCCUGGCCACGAGGGCUUCCCAGCCAAGCAUGGGAGGUGCCCGUGGACUCAUACUUCCCCGGGAACAACUGUGUGGGAACGCAGCCUGCUCAGCACCUUGACUCUGGAGCUGGCAGAGUGGCCCUGGGCCUUUGCUCUGCCCCCUGGAGAUUCACAGCCCACACUGAUGCUGGACAGCAGUGGCUGCUCUCCUCAGAGCUGAAUGUGGAUGCUUCCCUUGGAUUGAAGAACCCUCCCAAUGCAGAGCGUGAUGCUCUCGAAGGCUCAGGAUGUUCCACCCAUGAGAUUCUGGCCCACGGCCUUCCUGAUCCAGCCACUGCCCUGAGACAGACGAUGAUGAAAAGGAAACCACGGUUCCGCCAGUGGGAAAUGACCUGCAGAUUCCCAGGCCCUGAGCUUAGGGCACAGAGAAGCACAGCCCUGGGCCAAAAGACCUGGGUUCCCAGGAUCAGGUCUGGACCCCUGGAUGGACUCGCUGAAGCUGACGUUAGCUGGGGUGCUCUGCUGGGCCCCACAAAGGGCCAUCAGUCCAGAUGGAGAUGCCUCGGGAGGUUUUCCCACCACACAGCUGGUGAGCUGCUUAGGCACUGAGUCCCUGCUGCCUUCCCACUUCCCUCCCCAGCGUGCAGUUAGAGUCUGCAGUGCGGCUCCACUGUGUCUCAUGGCCUCAGAAGAGAAGGGGCAUUUCAGCAAGCUAAGGUGGGCAACCUGAACCCAGGGCUGCCAUUGUCAAGACCCCGUAAGAUGAGUGAGGACACAGGACAAGGUGCCGCUUAGUGCAGUCCGCCUGUCAAGGGAGGGUUGGCUGGAAACUGUGGGAGGGAAGAGAGAACCCAGAGGGCCAGAGGGAAGGAGCCGGCCGUGAGAGAUGGCGAGAUGAAGAGCAGUGACAGGAACGGCUGGGUCGUCCUCGGUCUCUGUAGCUCCCGUGUCCCAGCCUGAGUGACUUGAAGUAAGAUGAGCACCUCGAGCACACUUGUGAGGGUCUCGUUACAUGGCGAGAGCGUGGGGUGGGGUGGCUGUGUCUUCACAAAGCUCCAUCCCAUCAGAGGGGUCACUGUUCCUCCGUGCUCUGGGGUCAGCAGCUCAGCAGGCCCCAGCGUGUGCUCACCCCGCACAAGGGCUGCACCUCCAUCAGCCUGCAGGGGGCCCCCCUGCCUCCCAGCCAGUCUGUCUGUUGACCCGGAAGCAGCUACAGGGAACCAGGGCAGUGGUUGGAUUGCGAGCUACAUCCUCUCAGCUGGAAGAACAUGACCCCAGACUACCUGGAAUACAAAAUAGUGUAAGAUAGAAGUAUUAAUUUCAUUGAAACUCACAAGGAAAAGCAAUGCGCCUCCUGUUGCUCAUAAUGGAAUUCAGCAUUGUUUUCAUUUUUAUAUGUGGAAUCUACACUUUACCUUGCACCAUAUUGAUUUCACAGCCCACUGAUUAAAUCAGCUGGACAUUUUAAAGGUUUUAUGUUUGAAGAAUUAAGUCAUCUGGUUUUUGUUUUUUAAUACCAGGUCCUGUUCUGUAGUUCAGGCUGGCCUGGAAUCUCUUGCCUCAGCCUCCAGCGUGCUCAGAUUAUAGGCAUGCGCCACCAUGCCCAGCUUCUUUGGGUCAGUUAUUUUCAUGAAGUAAAAUCUCCAAAAAAAAGCUUUUAGUCUCAGCCCUUUGAAGCAGGUAUGAUGAGGUUUGAAAAUAGCAACUCAGAAAAUGCUGUCUGCAUUACUGUGUUGUGCCACUCUGCACACUCAGCUCAAGGACUGAGAACACACUUUCCCAAAGAGCCUGCCAAGC